AACGAACGCUGGCGGCGUGGUUUAGGCAUGCAAGUCGAGCGAGAAAGUCCUUCGGGACGAGUACAGCGGCGAAAGGGUGAGUAAUAUAUAGGUAACCUACCUCUUGGACUCGGAUAAUUCCUGGAAACGGGUUGUAAUACGAGAUCGUCCUAUUGGGUCGCAUGGCCCGACUGGUAAAUGGUAGCUCUGCUUCUGCCGAGAGAGGGGCCUAUAUCCUAUUAGCUAGUUGGUGAGGUAAUGGCUCACCAAGGCUUUGAUGGGUAGCCGGACUGAGAGGUUGGCCGGUCACACUGGGACUGAGACACUGCCCAGACUCCUACGGGAGGCUGCAGUCGAGAACU
rnacentral:rRNA from 1 species